rnacentral:lncRNA from 1 species
UAAUGGUAAGGAAGUACCGCAUCACGAUCUUCAGUGCUUGCCAAGUCCGAAACAACUCUUAAGCCGUCGUAAAUAUUGGCUAAGACCGGUAUAGCAAGGCUAAAAGAUUCGCCUGCAGCCAUCUUGCUAGCAACUUUGAAGACUCCAGGACGAAUCAAGUUGACAUCGUCUUUAGGGAAGACAAACUUACAAAGCCAACAAGCUAAGAAUGCAGCUAAGUAAGAUUCUUCCAAGUGCUCUAACGCCACGCCAAGAUCCUCAAAUGUCCUUAACUCGUUAGGGGUAUGGCGCCCAGCUAGACCAAUGACGCCUGACGGAUCAGAAUCUCCCUUAGGC